UACGUAGGGUGCAAGCGUUGUUCGGAAUUACUGGGCGUAAAGCGCACGUAGGCGGAAUGUUAAGUCAGGGGUGAAAUCCCGGGGCUCAACCCCGGAACUGCCUUUGAUACUGGCAUUCUCGAGUCCGGAAGAGGUGAGUGGAACUGCGAGUGUAGAGGUGAAAUUCGUAGAUAUUCGGAAGAACACCAGUGGCGAAGGCGGCUCACUGGCCCGGUACUGACGCUGAGGUGCGAAAGCGUGGGGAGCAAACAGG
rnacentral:rRNA from 1 species